CUUGCUUCCCUUCUGGAACCAGGCGGUUUCCAGGUCGUGUCAGUUUUGGCCGAAUGGGCAGUCGCCCGGGAGGAGACGAGUCUGAACGAGCAGAGCAAAGAAACCGGCUUCUGGAACAGCGGGAACAUUGACAGUUCAAAGCCAGAAUGACGACCAAGGCAAAGGGAAGAAAGAGCGAGUUAGGAGGUGAAGAGGACGAGCUGAGAGAGUCGGAUGAAGCAUGAAGGGGACUCGUCCACCAGCUGCUGUCACUCAAUCCGUCACUGAUAUAUUUAACUCCACCUCCCUGUAGAAGACCUGGAUCUUCCAGCAGCCACCAGGAGCGCUUGGUUCUCAUUCCUCCCUCGCUGAAGGGGGGUGGAGUCUCCAGCACAGUGUGAAUGUGCCAGUUUCCUAUGGAGCAGCAUCUAGUGGCCGUCUGAGGAACUGCAUGUUAUCUCAGCUCGGCAUCACAGACGCCUCCAUGUGGCUGAGGGAGGUAAUGACCGGUUACACAAACAUGAACGUGUCUGGUUCAUUGGAACAAAGGUGAAGAAGUUUGAGUCUUUAAUCAGUUUGAUUCAAAAUAAUAUUGAAUUACCAAAUCAUCAAAAUAAAUCAGUAAAAUAA